UACGGAAGGCAGCAGUGGGGAAUAUUGCACAAUGGGCGAAAGCCUGAUGCAGCUAUGCCGCGUGUAUGAAGAAGGCCUUAGGGUUGUAAAGUACUUUCAUCGGGGAGGAAAAACAAAACUAAUAAUUUUAUUUCUUGACGUUACCCGAAAAAGAAGCACCGGCUAACUCCGUGCCAGCAGCCGCGGUAAUACGGAGGGUGCUAGCGUUAAUCAGAAUUACUGGGCGUAAAGAGCACGUAGGUGGUUUUUUUAAGUCAGAUGUGAAAUCCCUGGGCUUAACCUAGGAACUGCAUUUUGAAACUGAAAUACUAGAGUAUCGUAGAGGGAGGUAGAAUUCUAGGUGUAGCGGUGAAAUGCGUAGAUAUCUGGAGGAAUACCUGUGGCGAAAGUCGGCCUCCUAAACGAAUACUGACACUGAGGUGCGAAAGCGUGGGGAGCAAACAGGGAUUAGAUACCCGU
rnacentral:rRNA from 1 species